rnacentral:rRNA from 1 species
UACGGAGGGGGCUAGCGUUGUUCGGAAUUACUGGGCGUAAAGCGCGCGUAGGCGGACCUGCAAGUCGGGGGUGAAAGCCCGAGGCUCAGCCUCGGAACUGCCUUCGAUACUGCGGGUCUCGAGUCCGGGAGAGGGAAGUGGAAUUUCCGGUGUAGCGGUGAAAUGCGUAGAUAUCGGAAGGAACAUCAGUGGCGAAAGCGACUUCCUGGACCAAUACUGACGCUCAUGUGCGAAAGCGUGGGGAGCAAACAGG